rnacentral:rRNA from 1 species
AGUCGAACGAUGAACCACUUCGGUGGGGAUUAGUGGCGAACGGGUGAGUAACACGUGGGCAAUCUGCCCUUCACUCUGGGACAAGCCCUGGAAACGGGGUCUAAUACCGGAUAGCACUCCUGCAGGCAUCUGUGGGGGUUGAAAGCUCCGGCGGUGAAGGAUGAGCCCGCGGCCUAUCAGCUUGUUGGUGAGGUAACGGCUCACCAAGGCGACGACGGGUAGCCGGCCUGAGAGGGCGACCGGCCACACUGGGACUGAGACACGGCCCAGACUCCUACGGGAGGCAGCAGUGGGGAAUAUUGCACAAUGGGCGCAAGCCUGAUGCAGCGACGCCGCGUGAGGGAUGACGGCCUUCGGGUUGUAAACCUCUUUCAGCAGGGAAGAAGCGCAAGUGACGGUACCUGCAGAAGAAGCGCCGGCUAACUACGUGCCAGCAGCCGCGGUAAUUCA